rnacentral:misc_RNA from 1 species
AGCAGCCGCGGUAAUUCCAGCUCCAAUAGCGUAUAUUAAAGUUGUUGCAGUUAAAAAGCUCGUAGUUGAACUUCGGGGUUUACUCAUUGGUCAGGCUUAAUUGUCUGUACUGGUGAGAUGAAUCUCUACCUUCUGAGGAACUUUCAUGCCAUUUAUUUGGUGUGGUUGGAAAUCAGGACUGUUACUUUGAAAAAUUAGAGUGUUUAAAGCAGGCUAACGUCUGAAUACAUUAGCAUGGAAUAAUGAAAUAGGACGGAUUGAUUCUAUUUCGUUGGUUUCUAGGGUCACUGUAAUGAUUAAUAGGGAUAGUUGGGGGCAUUAGUAUUCAAUUGUCAGAGGUGAAAUUCUUGGAUUUAUUGAAGACUAACUACUGCGAAAGCAUUUGCCAAGGAUGUUUUCAUUAAUCAAGAACGAAAGUUAGGGGAUCGAAGACGAUCAGAUACCGUCGUAGUCUUAACCAUAAACUAUGCCGACUAGGGAUCGGACGCAGUUAAUUUUAUAAUGACGUG